GCCAUCGUGGCGUAACGGUAGCGCAUUGCUUUCCUAUUCAGCUAGGCAGGGGUUGUGGGUUCGAUCCCCAUCGACGGUU